rnacentral:rRNA from 1 species
ACGGGGUGCAGCAGGCGCGAAACCUCCGCAAUGUGAGAAAUCGCGACGGGGGGAUCCCAAGUGCUAUUCUUAACGGGAUGGCUUUUCUUAAGUGUAAAAAGCUUUUGGAAUAAGAGCUGGGCAAGACCGGUGCCAGCCGCCGCUGUCUCUC